GACUGGGAAAGCUGGAGCAGGCCUGAAUAACUACCUCAGGUGUGUUAAUUGGCUGAAUGCACUGUGUGACUGACUGUCACUCUAACCAAUGGAGCAGCAAAGGCAGGAUUAAGGGUAGUUGUUUACCCUGGGUUACAUUAAGCCUGCAAUUAAUCUGUUAGGUGUUGCAUAGACAAUUUGAGAUUUGGCGACUGCAGGACUUUCAUCACCAACAUUAUCUUCUUUUUCCAUUUACUUAAUUUUUCUGCCAUACUUCUUCCUCCCAUCAAUAUUAUCCUGUCUAAAGUUUUGUUUCCAUUGCCCAUUGAUCUUUCAUCAUGUAAUGUCACCAUAAUGAAAUAAAAUCUAAGUUUUCCAGAUCUGACACAGCACAUGUAAUUCUGGUCAGAGAUUUACAUUGUCUUAUCAAAGCAUGGGAUUUAAAUAGUUCUCUAAAACUGCAAUGAAAUAAAGAAAACAAGAAUUGGACAAACAAAUUCUAAUUUGAUAUGAAUUUUAUCCAAUACAGAGUUCUCAUGUGACUUCACACUUCCGUGAACUUUGUAACUGACAGCUAUCUUGACAGGCUGUGGAGUUUCUAUGACGGCAAUAAACAAGCCAGAGCUCACCUAGUUCCUAUUUAACCUAAUAUAAACAAUAUAAGUUCAUUACAACUGCUUGAGUACUCUACCCACCUGUGACAAAUAUCAGUAAUAUUUACUGUAGUUCUUACUGCCGAACUAGCAAAACAAGCUUAGUUAAUAUAACUGGGUGCACUAUGCAUUGUGCAUGGGGUAAGCAUAGCGUGCAUCCUUACCAGGUGUAAGUAGAGGGACCUUAAGGCAGACUUACCAUACAUAGUAAGAUGACACAAUCACUCUGGUUCAAACUUGUGGGAACUAUGUAUAGAGGGAUUAUUUAUUUGUAAACACAGUAGCUGUGUGUGCAACUUGACUGCAGAAAGAGGAGACUGGCUUUUACAUCCCUACUGGUUGCCAUGGUUACCCACAUUUAUCUUGCUGUUUUAACAUUAGGUAGCAUGUCGGCGUACUACAGCUGCUGGUCACAGCAUGAUAAGUUAUGCUACCUAAUUGACAUUAGUGACCCAUUAAUGACCUCACACAUUACAUCAGUGUUUCUCAAUUAUUUUCUGUUAUGCCCCUUCAGGAACCAUCAUUUUUUUUCACGUGCUUUAUUGUUAAUUUUGCAUUAACAAUAAAAAGAUGGGUUUCAUCUAUUUCCUGGCCUUUUCCUGUGAGCUACAGUUACUUGCUUAUGAUUGAAUAUAAAGACCAGGCUGAGUUUUUGAUUUGGGUUUUAAAUACGAGUAAAGUUGGGUGAGAAUAAAGUCAUAAUUUUAUAACUUUUCACCACACUGCACUAAAUUGCUGAAUACUAGGGGUCUUAUAAGGUUAUAGUUGGCACUGGUUUAGCUAAUUGCUAAAUGCUAAAUGUUUUAGCAAAUCAGAAGCAAAUUUUCAGCCCCAGGACUUUAAAACGACUGCUUAAACAACUUUUUAUUUAAUAGAACAAGACCUGCUGGUUACUGUUGGAUUUAGACAAAUAAAAUGUUAAACUUCUUUGCUCGUUGUUUUCCUCUAGUCUCCCGAGUCCAGGGUUCUGCAUGUACACAGUGGAAAACACACAGAGAACAAGAAUUCACCAUUCGACUUCAGACAUAUCCAGAGUUUUAUUCAGACAGUUAAAUGCACAGAAAAACAGAUCAGCAUCACACCCAAAACAAGAAGUCCAAACCACAAAACAGACAUUAAGUACCUGAGAAAAGUAGAAAAAUGAACAAAAUACAAAAAUAAGAGAAAAGCAAAGGUGCCUUUGGGAACUGCUCAUGCGGCUGGAAAACGAAGCAAUUCAGCUUGCUGCUGAGAAGUGGAGACUUUUAUUAAGAGGUGUCGUCCUAAUUUUAAUAUAUGCAUUGAAGGUGUGUCCUCUCCUUCUAAACCUCUAAGCAGUUUCAAGUUACUUAGAUGGGUGAACCAAUAAUUUUGUUGCCUUCUUUGAAACCUAUUCAAAAUCAAAGAUAGAGAGAGAGAACAAAGGUCACUCAAAACAGGAUGUCUCAUGCCAGUUACAUCUGUUAUCUCUCCCAGUUCCUCCCUUUCUAAACAAAGUUGUUUAUCUUAUACAUAAAUUAUAUAUGUAAGGUUUCCAAAAUACCCAAUUUUGUUUUAUUUGCAGAUGACAUAAACAUUUUUUGUACAAAUGAAACUUUAUGGCAGCUUUUGCUAGAAAUGAAUUUAGUUAUGUAAACUGAAAACGUGGUUUGAUAUUCCAAAUUAUCACUAAAUUUAGAUAAAACCAAGUUUAUAUUAUUUGGGAAUUGUAAAGGGCAUAGCGAUUUACAAAUAAUAAUUGAUAAUGUGACUGUGGAGAGAGUGACUGAAAUUUGGUUUUUGGGAGUAUUGAUUCAUAAGAUCUGUUGGAAACCUCAUAUUAAAUAUAUUCAAUCUAAAAUGGCUAGAAGUAUUGCAGUUCUCUCUAAUGCUAGAAAAUUUUUAAACUCCUCUGCCCUUCAUAUCUUUUACUGUUCACUUAUUUUGCCAUAUCCAAGUUACUGUGUGGAAGUUUGGGGCAACACUUACAAAACUUCACUUCAACCACUACGCACGUUACAGAAAAGAGCCAUUCAAAUAGUUCACAAGGUUGAUUUUUAUUGUCAGACCAACAAUUUAUUGAUAGAUUCUCAUUUCCUGAAACUCCCAGAUUUGGUAGAGUUUCAAAUUGCACAGUUUAUGUAUAAAGUUAGAAACAAACUAUUACCAGAAAAUAUUCAAAAAAGAGAAAACCUCAACUUCAGAACUUUGAAUGUUCGAACAAUGAAAAGAAUGUGCAUAUCUGUCAUUGAUGUGAAGAUCUGGAAUAAACUCACUAAAGAGCUGAAGCAAAGUCCAAGCAUGAGGUAUUUUAAGAAAAGACUCAAAAUGGUUAUUCAAAAGUAUAAGGAUGAACAUGGGUGAUGAAUUUGGCUGGGAAUUACUGCAUUGUGGAUGACUUGGGCAAUUGGGUGUAGGUUUGUGUGUGUAAAUGUAUGUUGCUGUGUAAAUAGGUAUAUAUUAUUUAUGUAUAUAUGCAGAUAGAUGCAUAUGUACUGUAUAUGUGUGCGUGUAAAGAAUUACUGUCAUCUGGUUCAGGAAAUAUUACUAUAGUCAUUAUUAUUUAUUAUUAUUGUUGUUUAUUAUUAUUGUUUUAUUAUGUUAUUACUGUGGAUAUAUUAUGUUGGAAAGGAUACUUGAAACAGGAAUACUAUGCUAUGAAUUAAUGAAUGGAAAAGGGGUAUGAUUAUAUAAAUUAAACUUCAUCAUACUCCUUUUCAGACUCAGUCACUGAAUAAGUGGUGUAUUUGAGUAUGUACAGUACAGACCAAAAGUUUGGACACACCUUUUCAUUCAAAGAGUUUUCUUCAUUUUCAUGACUAUGAAAAUUGUAGAUUCACACUGAAGGCAUCAAAACUAUAAAUUAACACAUGUGGAAUUAUAUACUUAACAAAAAUGUGUGAAACAACUGGAAAUAUGUCAUAUAUUCUAGGUUCUUCAAAGUAGCCACCUUUUGCUUUGAUUACUGCUUGGCACACUCUUGGCAUUCUCUUGAUGAGCUUCAAGAGGUCGUCACCUGAAAUGGUCUUCUAACAGUCUUGGAGGAGUUUCCAGAGAUGCUCAGCACUUGUUGGCCCUUUUGCCUUCACUCUGCGGUCCAGCUCACCCCAAACCAUCUCGAUUGGGUUCAGGUCCGGUGACUGUGGAGGCCAGGUCAUCUGGCGCAGCACCCCAUCACUCUCCUUCUUGGUCAAAUAGCCCUUACACAGCCUGGAGGUGUGUUUGGGGUCAUUGUCCUGUUGAAAAAUAAAUGAUGGUCCAACUAAACGCAAACCGGAUGGAAUAGCAUGUCGCUGCAAGAUGCUGUGGUAGCCAUGCUGGUUCAGUAUGCCUUCAAUUUUGAAUAAAUCCCCAACAGUGUCACCAGCAAAGCACCCCCACA